GUUUGGUCUUUGUUUC
rnacentral:sRNA from 1 species